rnacentral:sRNA from 2 species
AAGAGACCUCCGGUAAAUCUGCCUGGUGCGUACGCAGGUUGUAAAAAAGCGGGAUGACGUGUGAAGGUCAUCCCGC